GGAAUAUUGGGCAAUGGGCGCAAGCCUGACCCAGCAACGCCGCGUGAGGGAAGAAGGUCUUCGGAUUGUAAACCUCUGUCCUUGGUGACGAAGGAAGUGACGGUAGCCAAGGAGGAAGCCCCGGCUAACUACGUGCCAGCAGCCGCGGUAAUACGUAGGGGGCGAGCGUUGUCCGGAAUUACUGGGCGUAAAGGGUGCGUAGGCGGCUUAGUAAGUCGGAUGUGAAACCCCCGGGCUUAACCCGGGACGUGCAUCCGAUACUGUUGAGCUAGAGUGCAGGAGAGGAAAGUGGAAUUCCUAGUGUAGCGGUGAAAUGCGUAGAUAUUAGGAGGAACACCAGUGGCGAAGGCGGCUUUCUGGACUGUAACUGACGCUGAGGCACGAAAGCGUGGGGAGCAAACA
rnacentral:rRNA from 1 species